UACGUAGGGUGCAAGCGUUAAUCGGAAUUACUGGGCGUAAAGCGUGCGCAGGCGGCUAUGCAAGACAGAUGUGAAAUCCCCGGGCUCAACCUGGGAACUGCAUUUGUGACUGCAUGGCUAGAGUACGGUAGAGGGGGAUGGAAUUCCGCGUGUAGCAGUGAAAUGCGUAGAUAUGCGGAGGAACACCGAUGGCGAGGGCAAUCCCCUGGACCUGUACUGACGCUCAUGCACGAAAGCGUGGGGAGCAAACAGG
rnacentral:rRNA from 1 species